rnacentral:rRNA from 2 species
GCAUAUCAAUAAGCGGAGGAAAAGAAACUAACAAGGAUUCCCCUAGUAACGGCGAGUGAAGCGGGAUGAGCUCAAAUUUAAAAUCUGGCGGCCUCAGGUCGUCCGAGUUGUAGUCUAGAGAAUCGUUUUCCGCGUUGGCCUGUGUACAAGUCCCUUGGAACAGGGCGUCAUAGAGGGUGAGAAUCCCGUCCUUGACACAGACUACCAAUGCUUUGUGAUGCGAUCUCGAAGAGUCGAGUUGUUUGGGAAUGCAGCUCAAAAUGGGUGGUAAAUUCCAUCUAAAGCUAAAUAUUGGCGAGAGACCGAUAGCGAACAAGUACCGUGAGGGAAAGAUGAAAAGCACUUUGGAAAGAGAGUUAAACAGUACGUGAAAUUGUUAAAAGGGAAACGAUUGAAGUCAGUCAUGCUUUCCGAGACUCAGCCGAUUCUGUCGGUGUACUUCUCGGUUGGCAGGCCAGCAUCAGUUUCGAUCUGUGGAAAAGGUUGGAGGGAACGUGGCAUCCUCGGAUGUGUUAUAGCCCUUCUUCGAAUACAUAGAGCGGGACUGAGGAACGCAGCGCGCCUUUUAUUAGGUUGGCCCUCGGGUACAUACGCGC